UUCCGACUCUACACUGUAACUUUUAAUUCAACAUCGAGGUCGCAAUCAAUCCCAUAGAUACGAUCUCCCUAGGAUUAUUACGCUGUUAUCCCUAAAGUAACUCACUCAAAUUAUCCCUAUCUAAAGGACCUAACUCCAUUUUAUAUGUUUACUGAAACCUCAGAUUUUACAAAAAAACUCCCCCAGCUAAAUCCUUUUUUCUUUUAAAACUUAAACCCUAACAAAAAUUAAACUUUUUGGG
rnacentral:rRNA from 1 species